rnacentral:rRNA from 1 species
GACGAACGCUGGCGGCGUGCUUAACACAUGCAAGUCGAACGGUAAGGCCCUUCGGGGUACACGAGUGGCGAACGGGUGAGUAACACGUGGGUGAUCUGCCCUGCACUUCGGGAUAAGCUUGGGAAACUAGGCCUAAUACCGGAUAGGACCCUGGGAUGCAUGUCCUGGGGUGGAAAGCUUUUGCGGUGUGGGAUGGGCCCGCGGCCUAUCAGCUUGUUGGUGGGGUGAUGGCCUACCAAGGCGACGACGGGUAGCCGGCCUGAGAGGGUGACCGGCCACACUGGGACUGAGAUACGGCCCAGACUCCUACGGGAGGCAGCAGUGGGGAAUAUUGCACAAUGGGCGCAAGCCUGAUGCAGCGACACCGCGUGAGGGAUGACGGCCUUCGGGUUGUAAACCUCUUUCAGCACCGACGAAGCGCAAGUGACGGUAGGUGCAGAAGAAGGACCGGCCAACUACGUGCCAGCAGCCGCGGUAA